rnacentral:tRNA from 1 species
UUAAUUGAAACCAAAUUGAGGUAUGCCACUGUUAAUGGUAUCAUUGGGAGACAUCCCCAAUUAAA